GAUGAACGCUAGCGGCAGGCUUAAUACAUGCAAGUCGAGGGGCAGCAUGAUUGUAGCAAUACAAUUGAUGGCGACCGGCAAACGGGUGCGGAACACGUACACAACCUUCCAACAAGUGGGGGAUAGCCCAGAGAAAUUUGGAUUAAUACCCCGUAACAUAGCGAUGUGGCAUCACAUUGCUAUUAUAGAUUUUUCGCUUGUUGAUGGGUGUGCGGCUGAUUAGAUAGUUGGCGGGGUAACGGCCCACCAAGUCUACGAUCAGUAGCUGAUGUGAGAGCAUGAUCAGCGACACGGGGACUGAGACACGGGCCCGACUCCUACGGGAGGCAGCAGUAAGGAAUAUUGGACAAUGGACGCAAGUCUGAUCCAGCCAUGCCGCGUGAAGGAUUAAGGUCCUCUGGAUUGUAAACUUCUUUUAUAAGGGACGAAAAAAGGCUUUUCUAAGUCGUCUGACGGUACCUUAUGAAUAAGCACCGGCUAACUCCGUGCCAGCCGCCGCAGUAAAAC
rnacentral:rRNA from 1 species